CUCCAGACUCCUACGGGAGGCAGCAGUGAGGAAUAUUGGUCAAUGGUCGGGAGACUGAACCAGCCAAGCCGCGUGAGGGAUGAAGGUACAGAGUAUCGUAAACCUCUUUUGUCAGGGAACAAAGACUGGGACGCGUCCCCGGAUGAGUGUACCUGAAAAAAAAGCAUCGGCUAACUCCGUGCCAGCAGCCGCGGUAAUACGGAGGAUGCGAGCGUUAUCCGGAUUUAUUGGGUUUAAAGGGAGCGUAGAUGGGUUGUUAAGUCAGUUGUGAAAGUUUGCGGCUCAACCGUAAAAUUGCAAUUGAUACUGGCAGCCUUGAGUACAGUUGAGGUAGGCGGAAUUCGUGGUGUAGCGGUGAAAUGCAUAGAUAUCACGCAGAACUCCGAUUGCGAAGGCAGCGUACCGGCGCGCAACUGACGCUCAUGCACGAAAGCGUGGGUAUCGAGCAGGAUUAGAUACCCCUGUA
rnacentral:rRNA from 1 species